AUUGAACGCCGGCGGCAUGCCUAACACAUGCAAGUCGAACGGCAGCACAGUGUGUAGCUAUACACAUGGGUGGCGAGUGGCGGACGGGUGAGUAAGACGUAGGGAUCUGCCUUAAAGAGGGGGACAACCCGGGGAAACUCGGGCUAAUACCGCAUACUACUCUGAGGAGGAAAGGGUUGGCGCAAGCCAGUCGCUUUAAGAGGAACCUACGGCCGAUUAGCUAGUUGGUGGGGUAAAGGCCCACCAAGGCAGUGAUCGGUAGCUGGUCUGAGAGGAUGAUCAGCCACACUGGGACUGAGACACGGCCCAGACUCCUACGGGAGGCAGCAGUGGGGAAUAUUGGACAAUGGGGGCAACCCUGAUCCAGCGAUGCCGCGUGUGUGAAGAAGGCCUUCGGGUUGUAAAGCACUUUAGUUGGGGAAGAAGUAACGUGGUUGAAUAGGCCACGUUGUUGACGGUACCUAAAGAAUAAGCACCGGCUAACUCUGUGCCAGCCGCCGCCGUAACAC
rnacentral:rRNA from 1 species